AAGGAGAAAAAUUUAGUCAGUUUUUCGAAUUGUGUACGGGUGGUGCGUCAGUGCACGUUCGGUUGUAGUGGAUAACAUAGACGCGUAUGUGUAUUAAAAACUGGUGCCAAUACUGUUAUUUAUAUUAAAAUAAUUUGUUUAAAGUGACAAGAAAAAAGGAAAUACAGCUCCAAAAAUAAGACUGCCUGAAAACGGUGGAGGUGUGUGUGUGUUUUAGGCAUUUGUAUUUUUUGUGUGAUUCUGGCUGUAAAGAACGUCUUAGAGUGAUUGUUAUAAAUGGCCACAAUAGAUGGAAGACCGGCUCAAUAUGGGAUUUCUCUUAAGCAAUUACGAGAGCUCAUGGAACACAGAGGCCGAGAGGGUGUUCAGAAAGUUCAAGAAUUUGGUGGUAUAACAGAAAUUUGUAAAAAACUAUACACAUCGCCAAAUGAAGGUUUGGGUGGAUCAAAAUCUGAUGUUGAACAUAGAAGAGAAACGUUUGGGUCUAAUACUAUACCACCGAAACCUCCCAAAACCUUUCUUACAUUAGUUUGGGAAGCUUUGCAAGAUGUAACACUUAUUAUUUUAGAAGUUGCAGCAUUAGUAUCACUUGGUCUGUCAUUUUAUAAACCUGCCGACGAGGAUGCCCCUGUUUUACAAGAAGAAGAGGAUCAUCAUGGUUGGAUCGAAGGGCUAGCCAUUUUAAUUUCAGUAAUAGUGGUUGUCCUAGUGACAGCUUUUAAUGAUUAUUCCAAGGAACGUCAAUUUAGGGGCUUACAAAAUCGUAUAGAAGGCGAACACAAAUUCUCAGUAAUACGUGGUGGCGAAGUGUGUCAAAUAUCAGUUGGGGAUAUUGUAGUUGGCGAUAUUGCUCAAAUCAAAUAUGGUGACCUUUUACCAGCUGAUGGUAUUCUCAUACAAAGUAAUGACUUAAAGGUCGAUGAGUCUUCAUUAACUGGAGAGUCUGAUCAUGUCAAGAAAGGUAUUGAAAAUGAUCCUAUGGUAUUAUCAGGAACGCAUGUUAUGGAGGGCAGCGGUAAAAUGGUUGUUACUGCUGUUGGUGUUAAUUCACAAGCUGGUAUUAUCUUUACCUUAUUAGGAGCAGCCGUCGAUGAACAAGAAGCGGAAAUCAAGAAAAUGAAAAAAGAAGCUAAAAAGGCCAAAAAGAGUAAGAGUUUAACAGGCGACGAUGACAGAGCUCCAACAAAAGUUGUUAGUCAUAAGGCUGACUCUGACGGCAACCACAUACAACAACAGCAGUCUUCCACAGCUGCUGCACCCGAGUCAGGUCACAAAAAAGAGAAGUCCGUUCUACAAGCAAAACUUACAAAAUUGGCUAUACAAAUUGGUUAUGCUGGAUCAACAAUUGCCGUACUAACUGUAAUCUUAUUAGUUAUACAAUUCUGUAUUAAAACGUUUGUUAUUGAAGAAAAACCUUGGAAAAAUACAUACGCUAAUAAUCUGGUCAAGCAUUUAAUUAUUGGUGUUACCGUUUUGGUUGUAGCUGUUCCUGAGGGUCUACCAUUAGCCGUUACACUUUCAUUAGCUUAUUCAGUAAAGAAAAUGAUGAAAGAUAACAACUUGGUGCGUCAUUUGGAUGCUUGCGAGACUAUGGGCAAUGCCACUGCCAUUUGUUCAGAUAAGACUGGAACAUUAACUACAAAUCGCAUGACUGUGGUUCAAUCGUACAUUUGCGAAAAGUUAUGCAAAGUUUUACCUACUUUGAACGAUAUUCCACAUCAUGUAGGCAACUUAAUUACCCAAGGUAUUUCAGUAAAUUCUGCAUACACUUCAAACAUUUUGCCUGGCGCCGAUCCUGGAGAUCUGCCCAUGCAGGUUGGCAAUAAAACAGAGUGUGCUUUAUUAGGCUUUGUACAGGGUCUGGGUGUAAAAUAUCAAUCUAUAAGAGAUGAAAUUACUGAAGAUAAGUUUACGCGUGUUUAUACAUUUAAUUCCGUGCGUAAGAGCAUGGGAACAGUUAUACCAAGAUCAAAUGGUGGAUACCGCUUAUAUAGCAAGGGUGCUUCGGAAAUUAUGUUAAAAAAGUGCGCGUUUAUUUAUGGUCAUGAUGGAGUUUUGGAGAAAUUCACUCGUGAUAUGCAGGAACGUUUAAUACGCGAAGUUAUAGAACCCAUGGCUUGCGAUGGUUUACGUACUAUAUGCAUUGCAUAUCGUGAUUUUGUGCCUGGCAAAGCUGCUAUUAACGAAGUCCACAUAGAAAAUGAGCCCAAUUGGGAUGACGAGGAAAAUAUUAUGGCAAAUUUAACCUGUCUGUGCGUUGUAGGAAUUGAAGAUCCCGUAAGACCCGAAGUUCCAGAAGCCAUACGUAAGUGCCAGCGUGCUGGUAUUACAGUACGUAUGGUUACCGGUGACAAUAUUAAUACAGCUCGUUCCAUUGCCGGUAAAUGUGGAAUUUUGAAACCUGGUGAUGAUUUCUUAGUCUUAGAAGGCAAAGAAUUUAAUAGGCUUAUACGUGAUAGUAAUGGAGAUAUCCAACAGCAUUUAAUUGAUAAAGUUUGGCCAAAAUUGCGUGUAUUAGCUCGUUCAUCUCCUACUGAUAAAUACAACUUAGUCAAAGGUAUCAUUGACAGUUCUGUUAGUGAAAAUCGUGAAGUUGUAGCUGUUACCGGUGAUGGUACAAAUGAUGGUCCCGCUUUGAAAAAAGCUGAUGUUGGUUUUGCUAUGGGUAUUGCUGGUACUGAUGUGGCUAAAGAAGCUUCCGAUAUUAUUUUAACUGAUGAUAACUUUAGCAGUAUUGUUAAAGCUGUUAUGUGGGGCCGUAAUGUCUACGAUUCCAUAGCCAAAUUUUUACAAUUCCAGCUUACUGUUAAUGUAGUUGCUGUAAUUGUUGCUUUCAUUGGUGCUUGUGCUGUUCAAGACUCGCCACUUAAGGCUGUCCAAAUGUUAUGGGUUAAUUUAAUUAUGGACACACUUGCAUCAUUGGCCUUGGCCACCGAAUUGCCAACCCCUGAUUUGUUACUGCGUAAACCAUACGGUCGCACAAAACCUUUGAUUUCACGUACAAUGAUGAAAAAUAUUUUGGGACAAGCUUUAUAUCAGUUAGUAGUCAUUUUUGGUCUUCUAUUUGCCGGCGAUAUUAUACUAGAUAUUGAAUCUGGGCGUGGACAGGAACUUAACGCUGGACCUACUCAACAUUUCACAAUAAUUUUUAAUACUUUUGUAAUGAUGACUUUGUUUAAUGAAAUCAACGCUCGAAAAAUUCACGGCCAAAGAAAUGUCUUAGAAGGACUAUUUACGAAUCCAAUCUUCUAUACUAUUUGGAUAUUUACUAUGAUCUCUCAGGUUAUUAUUGUUCAAUACGGAAAUGUGGCAUUCUCAACAAAAGCAUUGACCCUUGACCAAUGGCUGUGGUGUAUUUUCUUUGGUCUUGGAACACUAGUUUGGGGACAAUUAAUCACAUCCAUACCAACGCGAAAAUUACCUAAAAUUUUAUCAUGGGGACGCGGACAUCCAGAAGAAUAUACUGAUGGCAUGAAUUUAGGUGAAGAACGCUUUGACUCUAUCGACUCUGAUAAAAAACCCCGUGCUGGUCAAAUCUUAUGGAUACGUGGCUUAACACGUUUACAAACUCAACCCGCGGAUGCAAUACGAGAGACUGAGGUGUAAAUUUUUACUUAUCAAAAUGCAAACACAAAAUGAUACUUAAGCAUUGUAAUAAUAUACAUCAUACAAUAUUUAUUAACUACAAAAUUAAACCAAAAGAAAGCGAAAAUAAUAACAACUACAAUUAUUAACGCAAAAAAAAAUUGUUUAAAAAAUUACAGAAAACUGAACAAAUAUAAAAAAAACAACAAGAAACAUCUUCCAAAUUCAUUACUUAUUACAGUUGCGUUCUUAUAGCGCCGUAAAACUUUAUUUUAAUUCUUGAAAUUGAGUGAAUCUAUUAAAUUUGAAACUCACUCGUAAUAUACAUACAUACUUUGUAUGUACACAAUUGAUACAAAAAAGAAUAAUUAUAACAAUAUUAAUAAUUUUUGUUUGCAUCACAAUUCUCUGGGACCAAUCAACUAUAAUUAUACAACUAAUACUACUACUACUACUAUUUUCCUACUAAAUAUUACUACUGUUACUACUUUUCUCUUCUCUUCAACUUAUUUCAACCAUGUGGCAUUGUCACUAAUCUACCAUACUUGAAAGAAACUGAUGAACUCUGUUUAAACUUAAACAUAUCCAAAAACCUUGCGCGUAAUCCGCGCAUUUAAGUCCAACCUAGAGGACUUGAAUGAGCGACGUUCUAUGCAUAGCCUGCACAGCUUACGUAGUCCACGUACCGCUAAUUUUGCCUAUGGAGGGUUUUCAAAUUCAUUAAGUCCUACAAUCAACAAUAAAAAUUUUACAUUAAGUUCUAUCAACAACAACAAAAAAUUUACACAAACGCCGCAGCAACCCUUGCAACAAGCACAGCAGU